GAUGAACGCUAGCGGGAGGCCUAACACAUGCAAGCCGAGCGGUAUAGUUUCUUCGGAAACUAGAGAGCGGCGUACGGGUGCGUAACACGUGUGCAACCUACCUUUAUCAGGGGGAUAGCCUUUCGAAAGGAAGAUUAAUACUCCAUAAUAUAUUAGAUGGCAUCAUUUAGUAUUGAAAACUCCGGUGGAUAGAGAUGGGCACGCGCAAGAUUAGAUAGUUGGUGAGGUAACGGCUCACCAAGUCAAUGAUCUUUAGGGGUCCUGAGAGGGAGAUCCCCCACACUGGUACUGAGACACGGACCAGACUCCUACGGGAGGCAGCAGUGAGGAAUAUUGGACAAUGGGUGAGAGCCUGAUCCAGCCAUCCCGCGUGAAGGAUGACGGUCCUAUGGAUUGUAAACUUCUUUUGUAUAGGAAUAAACCUACCCUCGUGAGGGUAGCUGAAGGUACUAUACGAAUAAGCACCGGCCAACUCCGUGCCAGCAGCCGCGGUAAGAC
rnacentral:rRNA from 1 species